CCUUGAUGAGAUUCAGAUUCAAGUUUUUUGGGGGGGUGGGCAACACAGUUUCGUAGGUGGCUGCUGAAUACUCCCUAUAGCAUCACAUUAGGAGCCACAUAAUGUCUGGUUAUCCAAAUUUUGCUGCAGUUAAGAUUGACCUUUAUUAGCUGAGAUUCUUCAAUAAAGAAGAACUUUCCCUCAUCAACCAAGGGAUUACUUUCAAGAGGCUCUCUCUUCGGCUUUCUGCAGUUUCAUUACCACGUGACUAGAUACGACUGGAUACAAGGACCUCAGAACGCUUUCACUCUAUGGUCCACUCAAACAUAGAUGCUGUUGUCAUCGGUGGCUUUAUCCAAGCCACCUUAAAUGGGAUUUCCUUCGUCUCCCUUCUGUAACAACCAGAGAAUGCUGAAAACGCCCAGGCUGGCAUUUCCAGAGCACUGUAGGUGUUCAGUAAGUACUUCCUGUUUAUUUUGUUUACCAUCCUUCCUCAGCGGACUGUCUCUGGGAUCUUAGGCUCAGGUACAAGCCUGCGUGCCUUUGACCAUUGUAUCAGUUAAGACUUAUGUUAACUGCAAAGAGCAAAAGAACUCAACCAAGUUUUACAAUUAACAGACGAGAAGUAGAAGGAAUAAAAAAAGAGGAAGUGGCAGCACCAUUUCAGGAAUGUCAUCUUUGCCGAGAAAUCACCGUUAGUCUUUGGUUUACAUCUUAUUCGCUGCAACUGUCAAAUGGCCGCCUCAAUCUGAAUGAGAGGCCGGCAAGUGUGCAUCUAUUUCUCAGUUGUGCACUUUGCUACUCUAAACAAAUUGCAGUUCUGGUACCAUUGACUUUGGGUUGGCAACCUCUUCCAUGUUUUUCCAGGUUAUCUCAAAAGAAAUUCUAAUUCUUCAGUUUAAUAAGCAAUUUCUUGGACGACUAGUAAAAACACUUCAAAAUGGUAGAAGAGGCAAAUUUUAUCUUAUAUAUAUUUUGACACACACACACAUACCAGACUCAGAAACCAAAAGUGUAAACACCAUGUGGCAAAUGCAAAGACAGAAGGAGGGACAGGGUGUUGCGGUGCACAGAGAAUCAUCUACAGUGCCUAGGCAUUGGAUCCUGGCUCGGCCACCAUCUCUGUUGGGGCUACUGGGAAGCAGACAAUGAGACACAGUGAGGACCAAGAGGGUUUAUGGAGGAAAGGAGUGAGCAGGACUGGGCAGAGGAAACUGCUAGCUGUGAAACAGGUUGAUGAAGUCUCUUAGCCCAAAGGGCAGCUGGAGGAGAGAGCCCAUUGGAGGAGUCCCACUCUGGGUGGAGAUGCCGAGGCCCUUGUGCCAUCACCUUGCUCGGUCAUUGUCUGGGACUGCACUGAGAAGGCUGAGGGCGCCUGAAAGAAUGAACCGGAGGCUGUCAGCCCAUCACCUCCACUCAGCUGGGCGAGGAGUCCUUUCAAGAGGGAUAAAUGCAGCACAUCUCUGCGUCUGCCACAAGCACUGUUAGCUGUGUGAUCUUGUGGAUUUAUAACUCCUGUGUUUCAGUUUUCUCAUUUGCAAAAUAAAUAUUAUAACAAUAAUAGCAACCUGGUUGUUGGGACAAUUAUAUGAGCCAAUUAACACGUAGUGCUUAGAACAGGGGCCGGUUCAUGGUAGGUGCUCAUUAAGUGUUGGCUAUUAUCAGUUGCCAUACUAACAUGGAAUGUGCAUCAUGAAAUAAACACAAAAAAUAAGUUACAAAGCCUAUGCUACAAUAAAUAUAAGUAGAAGGUCUGGUAUUUUCUGGACCUCAACUGAUUAUCUUCUGCAUUCCAUUCUUAGACUGCUGGUUUGAGCAAGCAAUGACAGUGACUGUGGCUAAGGUGAUGGCAGGGGGUCUAGUAAGUUGUGAACAGAUUCAAAUGCAUUUUAAAAUGUUAGGACUUGCAACAGAGUGGUCACAGGAUGGAAGGAAUGGAUGGAAGGAGGAGUCAAGGCCACUCCCAGGCAUCUGGCUUGAUGGGUUGUAUGGACGGUACUGUCGCUAAGGUGGAAAGACAGGAUGGGAGGGGGAGCUGGGGGCCAAUCAAGACUUUUCUUUGAACCCGCAGGAUAUCUGUGAGGCAGUGGAGAAGCCAAGGAGGCGGCGGGCGGUGAGGCCUGAGGUGAGACUGGGCUGGAGACGUAAGUUUGGGAGUCACUAUCAUAAGGAUGGUGUUCAAGUCCACAGGAAUGGCACGGUCACUGGGAGGGAGAAGAGAACCAGCCUCCUCCUUCUCCCCCACCUCUCAAACCCAGCCAAGCUCCGGCUCUCCCUCACUGUCUUUUGCUUCCACUUCUCUUCUUCACCCUCAGCCUGGCUGCAACUACUCCGUCAUCAGCUCUCACCUAGAUGAUGACUCCAGCCUCUUUGGUUGGUGUUCCAUGCUCUUAUUUUGUUUUCCAGCUUACCUCUCUGGCUCAUUCCUUUAUGAUCUCUACUGUGUACUUUACAGUCUAAUAUCAAAUUCCCUGUAAGUCCCCAAAUGCUCCCUACCAUCUCAUGCCUUGAAACCUCAAUGGCUUCUCUUCACAUUCAGAACAAAAUCCAGACUUCUAAUCAUGGCCUGCAAGGUUCUGUCUGAUUUGGUCCUGGAUACCUUUCCAACCUAAUUUCCUGCCUCCCUUUCCUUCCCCUUCCAGCUCCGGCCACUUGGACUUCCUGGCUGCUCCUUGAACUUGUCAAGGAAACUCCAGACUGAGGACUUUUGCCCUUGCUGUUCCCUCUCCCUCAAAUGUUGUUCCUCCAGAUGGUCACAUGAUUAACGCUCUCAUUUCCAAUGAUCUCCAUUCAAAUCUCACCUCAUCAGAGGCCUCCCCUCUCACCCUAUUCAAAAUAGCCUCUGGCCCCUUUCUCACCUCCCACUCUGGCCUCCCUCUGUCUCCUUACUCAGCUUUAUUUUUUCUUCAUUGAUUUAUCACUAUCUGAUAUUAUAUUACAUAUUUAUCCUCCUGUAUUUUUACCAUCUCUUUUUCUCCUAUUAGAAUUUACAUUCCAUAAAGGCAGGGCUCUCAUUCACUGCUGCAUUUCCAUUGCUUAGAUCAGUUUUUGAAUUUAGCAGGUACCCAAAAAGUAUUAGUUAAACGAAUAAAUGAAUAAAUAAACACAGGAAGGAAUGCCACGAUUCCUGUCUGUCCUUUGCCACCUGGUCAGCUCCCACUGAUCCUAAAGAGUCAGGUCAGGCACCAGCUCCUCUGGCAAAUCUUCCCUGACUGUCUGCCCAGGCUGGGCAAGUGCCCUUUGCUCCUCCCCUGGGCUGGCCUCUGUCACAGCCCUGCUAACCUCACUCUGGGAUCGGGGCAGCGCCUCCACCCCAAUCUCUCGGCUUCUUGAGGGCAGAAAAAUCUUCUUCAUCUACCUCUCCAGGGCCUGACAGAAAGAAGGCAUUCAGUAAAUGUUUGUGGGAUGAGUAAAAGAGUGAAUAAACGAAAGAAUAAUAGCAGAAAAUUAAAAAUUUCCACACAACUCUGACGUGGAAAAUAACAUAAUUUUCUUUGGCAAUAACUGAUCUUAUUUUGCUCUUGCAUCCGCAUUCCUACUGAUGGUGGAAAAUAAUCCUUAAACUUGCCACUUAAAGGCAACUCAGUUUGUUUUGGACUCAUGCAGUCUUUUUCUGCCAAAUUCAGUUGCCUUAGGGUUGAUAAUUUAAACUCAAGCCCUCUAUCAAUACUGUUUCUCUCUUCAUUCAAAAGGCUCUCCCUUGCCGUCUUUCCCAAGAUGGCGGCUGGGUGCAGGCAUGAGUUUCAUGCAUCCACAUGGUGAUGGAGGUGGCAGGGAAAAGAGUACGAAUGCGGAUAGACCCUGGUCCAAGAGCUCCACAGUUCUCAGUGUACUCCAGCGGGCUGGCAGGUUUAGCUCGGUCGCUGGGUCCUCUGAGGAUGUCUAUGAGGCGUUCAUAAUACUUGUGGUCUUCCAGGUGUCAUCCAUCCAUCCACGGUCCCUGAUGCUAAAGGCUUUUUCCUCUAGUUGCGAGGUGCCUGUAACUUUUAGCUCUUGACCCCACAGCUGGGGCUUCCAGGAACGCUCUGUUUCUCGAUCUAGCCCAAGCUGGUGUGCAGCCUUUGUGACAUUGCCCUUAUACCCCCUCCUUAGCUAUUACCACGCUGUGUUGGACAUGGUGCCAUAAUGAACCUAGGACUUGAAAUUUCCCAGAGCCAGACCCUGAGAAACAAGAAGCAAACUAUUAUGACUGUUGUCCCCAAACCUCUCUCACAAAACAGCUCCUGCUACAGAGAGCGCAGCCCUCUGUGUCCACUGCCCCGAACUCUGAGGCCAGAAGAGCUUUCUAUUACCCACUUCUGACUGGAUAGAUAGGCUUUUAUUUCUUAUCUUCUUUCUUUUGUAUUCUAUAGCUUUUUCCGUUCCAGGUGUUUUCCUCUCUUAUCUGACUUGGGCAAUAAGUAGCACAGCCCAAGCAUACGGUGUAGGGAUGGGGGAGAUUCAGGAGAAAGGAAACAACACUGGAGAUAUUCUAUUCAGAUGCUGGAUGGAUGGACGGGUAAACGUACAGUAUGUGUACUAGAUGACUUGUCCCAUGUCAUCAGGUCCCUAGACAGAGUUCAGGACUCCAAGCCCGAACUUCUGACCACUCUUCUUUCCAUUAUGUGUUCAAAAUCCAGUUCCCCAACUUCCCAACUUUCCCAAAUGCCAUUCACUCUGAAAAGCUUUCUCAGAGGGUAAUGUCGACGAAAAUAAUCCAUAACCAAUCUAUAAAUGAAAA